CAGAGGGUGCAAGCGUUAAUCGGAAUUACUGGGCGUAAAGCGUGCGUAGGCGGUUUCGUAAGUCGGAUGUGAAAGCCCCGGGCUCAACCUGGGAAUUGCAUUCGAGACUGCGAAGCUCGAGUGCGGAAGAGGGAAGUGGAAUUUCCGGUGUAGCGGUGAAAUGCGUAGAUAUCGGAAGGAACAUCAGUGGCGAAAGCGACUUCCUGGUCCAGCACUGACGCUCAGGCACGAAAGCGUGGGGAGCAA
rnacentral:rRNA from 1 species